rnacentral:tRNA from 1 species
GCGGACGUGGCGAAAUUGGCAGACGCGCGGGUCUCAGAAGCCCGUGAUGGUGACAUCGUGGAAGUUCAAGUCUUCUCGUCCGCACCA